rnacentral:rRNA from 1 species
UACGGAGGAUGCAAGCGUUAUCCGGAUUUAUUGGGUUUAAAGGGUGCGUAGGCGGGAAAAUAAGUCAGUGGUGAAAUCCUACAGCUUAACUGUAAGAAUUGCCGUUGAUACUGUUUUUCUUGAGUAUGGUCAAGGAAGGCGGAAUGUGUAAUGUAGCGGUGAAAUGCUUAGAUAUUACACAGAACACCAAUUGCGAAGGCAGCUUUCUGGCCCAUUACUGACGCUGAGGCACGAAAGCGUGGGGAUCGAACAGGAUUAGAUACCCGCGUAGU